AAGCCCGAAAAACCGUAAACCAAACAACCGAAACGAAUGAAGCAAACCAAAAAGAAAGAAAGAAAAAAAACGGA
rnacentral:ribozyme from 1 species